rnacentral:pre_miRNA from 1 species
UCCACACCCAUGUGUGUAGGAUCCCAAAGGAUCACUAUUAAAUUUGGCACAGAUCUCUAGAAAAAUUAUCACAUGGGUGUAAGAUUUGACUUUUCUAGAGAUCUGUGCCAAAUUUAAUGGUGAUCCUUUGGGGUCCUAUACACAUGGGUGUGGG